CCACCACUCUGGUACAGACGGUACAGACAUGGCGAUCUCUCUGCUCCACUUCACGCUUUUUUCCAAGGGGAGGAUGAAAGCAUCGAAAGAGGUCCCAUGGGCUCUACCGGAAGGGGCGUGACUUCGCCACUCUAUGCUAAAACGCAAGAAUAUUUCUGCAUCCGCACAUCAUCCAGUACCCUCUGACAGACGUUCCCAGCAGAGGAGGCAAGUAGCAGUGACUUGAAUGGGAUUCGAGCAUCCAGCAGAAGCCAGUGCAGAGUGCAAAGAAAUGGGAUAGUCUGAGAGAACAUGGGCAGGUUGACGACCAACUGGACUGCCGUGUGCUGAAUGAGCUGCGGAGGACAGAUUGCACAUGCAGGCACACCAGCUAAAAGAGAGUGGCCUACACACAAGUUUACAAGAGCUCCUUGGACCGUAACCUGGCUGGCCUUCUGGGAAGCCCUGCUCCCCCGAGGAGCAGGAAAUCAGUGGCUGGAGGACCCUGUGUUGGGAGGCGUGAUUGCUGCUCAUCUGGCAUCCGAUCGGAGGGGUCUUAUCCACGCCGCCAAGGCCAAGCCUCGGUGUUGUCUUUUUUUGUUGUUGUUCCAUUUAUUAUUUCUGCAUAAAUAAAGAAAAUGUUGCUGCUUCACAUAGAGACCUUAACGAAUGCAAAUAGGAUAAAAUGAUUCAAGUUGUUUUGUAAAUGGAUGAGUGAAAUUAAUGUUAGAAUGGUUAUGUUUUUUCUCACU
ensembl:lncRNA